GGCACGGCUCGGGAGGUUCAGCCCCCUCUGCAAUAAUGGUGACCGACUGCACGGCUAAGGGACUUGAAAGAUGGUAUUGGACGCCAGCCACAGUCAGCUUUUUAACUUAGAUUGCCGUUAUUUCAAUCUCCCGUUUAACAACACGUUGUUGACAGCCGAACGUUUGCGUCUCUAGGAUAGCCCUGGAGAGGCUGCUGCCCAGAUAUGGGAACAGAGAGGACGGGGACAGACAGGCUUCGGUUGAGCCUGGUAUCCAGCCAGGGUCAUUCCAUGACAGGGAAGGAAAGGCAACGCUGAUCAACGGAGGAGCAAGGUAAAGAAAGGCAAGGUAAGGGGUAAGCCAAGUCAAGACAGUUGCAUUGUAUAGAAGGUUAUGAUUCAGGUUACACAGGUAUAGAAAGUUGCGAUUCAGGUUAUACUGGUAUCUUACAACUCAAGCUAUACAAGCAUCUUGAAACUUUGACCCAAGUGAUGGAGGUAUGACCUGUCUGAUCUCCCUUGCCCUCGCCGUGCGCUCCGUUCAGAGCCGGGCCCACACGGGCCCGCCUUGGGUGUGCACACAGCGCCACCUGGUGGAGCUUCUGAGCCACGGCGGGAGCGAGAGGGCCACAAGGUGACGCUGUGCACCGACAGACAUGGCACUGUCCCCUUUGGCGGCGUCUUCAAUUUCUAGCUUUUAUAUCUUCCAGAUGCUGUACUGCGUUAGUGUAGGACUCUGAACUCCGUAUAGAGUGUUAGCAAGCUCUCUUCACAUUUUGGUCACACAAAACAAUCCUUCCAAGCCUGAGAACUAAAGACAUUCUUUGCCUCAGGCCCCAAAAAGUAUAAACAAAAGUGAACUGGGGAGCAGGGAGCAAACUGGGCGUAUGUGACUUCAUUACCAGAAGUUGUAAUUGGAAAAUUAACCCCUGAUAUGCAAAUAAACCAAACAUAUCUGUCUGACAAAGAUAUAAAACAAACUUA